AAAAUACUCCCUUCGUCUGGAAAUACUUGUCCUAGAAAUGGAUGUAUCUACACUUAUUUUAGUUAUAGAUACAUCAAUUUUAUCCAUUUCCGGACGGAGGGAGUAGUUG
rnacentral:pre_miRNA from 1 species